rnacentral:rRNA from 1 species
GACGAACGCUGGCGGCGUGCUUAACACAUGCAAGUCGAACGGAAAGGCCCUGCUUUUGUGGGGUGCUCGAGUGGCGAACGGGUGAGUAACACGUGAGUAACCUGCCCUUGACUUUGGGAUAACUUCAGGAAACUGGGGCUAAUACCGGAUAGGAGCUCCUGCUGCAUGGUGGGGGUUGGAAAGUUUCGGCGGUUGGGGAUGGACUCGCGGCUUAUCAGCUUGUUGGUGGGGUAGUGGCUUACCAAGGCUUUGACGGGUAGCCGGCCUGAGAGGGUGACCGGGCGCGUUGGUGUGGCGGCUCGGCCACGCCUCAUAGGGGGGGCGGCAGGUGGGAUGAUUACACAGUUGGCGGAGCUGUGGAGCAUCUGCGGCGUGGGGGGGAUCGCGGCUUUCCGUCUGGCAACCGUUGCCGCCGGGAGAGGGGAUUGAGUGGUGGGAAUGGGUAAAGCAGCCCCGGCGACCUACGUGCCAGGAGCCGUGGUAAUAAGACGGGACCCCGCGCUGACC